GACGAACGCUGGCGGCGUGCUUAACACAUGCAAGUCGAACGAAGUGGCGCACGGGUGAGUAACGCGUAAUCAACCUGCCCUUCAGAGGGGGACAACAGUUGGAAACGACUGCUAAUACCGCAUACUGACGGCGGGGAUUGCGUCUGAUUAGCUAGUUGGAGGGGUAACGGCCCACCAAGGCGAUGAUCGGUAGCCGGGCGGAGAGGAUGAACGGCAACAUUGGGACUGAGACACGGCCCAGAUGCCUACGGGAGGCAGCAGUGGGGAAUUGUGGACAAUGGGCGCAAGCCUGAUCAAGCCAUGCCGCGUGUCUGAAGAAGGCCUUCGGGUUGUAAAGGACUUGUGUCAGGGAAGCGGUACCUGAAGAAGAAGCACAGGCUAACUACGUGCCAGCAGCCGCGGUAAUUC
rnacentral:rRNA from 1 species